GUACGAGAGGACCGGGGUGAACGAUCCACUGGUGGACCUGUUGUUGCGCCAGCAGCAGUGCAGGGUAGCUAUGAUCGGACAGGAUAACCGCUGAAGGCAUCUAAGCGGGAAGCCCCCCUCAAAACAAGGUAUCCCUGAGGGCCGUGGUAGACCACCACGUCGAUAGGCCGGAGAUGUAAGUGCAGCAAUGCAUUCAGUUGACCGGUACUAAUGGCCCGAUAGGCUUGAUUUG
rnacentral:rRNA from 1 species